AUAAUCCAUUUAAAACCAAACAAUCCAAAAUAAAAAAUAACAUAAUAAUUCUAAUAUUGAAACGAUCAAUUUCUGUAAUCCUCAAAGAUGUCUUCCAUGUUGCAGCUACUUUCAACAUUAUCAACAUCCUACAAAAAUUAAGAAUAAAAUAUAAUAAGAAAUAAUACUUAUUUCAAUUGUAAAAAUAAAACUUAUUGGUUCAUUUCACCAACAACCCAACGGUCCCAACCAAUAAGAAAUCAAAACAUGAAGAGUCGAUUCCUUUCACCAACAACCCAACCAAUAAGAAAUCAAAAAUAAGAAAUCAAAACAUGAAGAGAACCGACUGCACUGACACAAAACAUGUUCGAAGUCGAAGGUUUACCUAAGCAGCUGAGCCCUGAGGGGAGGACGAGCAGCGGCGGUGGAGGGGCCGAGAUGAAGUGGUUCAGUCAACGCCUCAACA
rnacentral:lncRNA from 1 species